GUAAUGCGGUGGCGCUUGUGAGGAGCGGGGGAGUUGGGGAAGUAGUUGGCAUUGGCCGACGGGAUGCUUACUCCCUUUUCUGGUUUGGUUUGGGCUUUUUUUGUUUUGUUUUGUUUUUUUUUUUUUUUCCCUGCAGAUGACGAAGAGGAGCCUGGCAACUGCAGGAAUAUCCCAGUUAGCCCGUGUGGUUUUUCUGGAUGAUGGAUUCAGCCCCUCGGCCCUCUGAAAGCUAAGUUGAGGGACCAGGGCUGGGGAGAGGCUGGGAGGAAGGGAGGAAGCUGGGAAUUGCAGGGAGGGGUUUUAAAGUUAUUGUAGGAGAGAGGGCUGUCCCAAAGCCGUCCCCUUUGCGCAGGCGAAGGGAGCGGGUUGCUUUUCAGCACGAGACCUGCGUGGGCAGGGCAGUUCCAGCCUGUGUCUGUGGUGGUGUGUAGUUUGUGUAGUCUGUCUUCUGUGCCUUAGAUCUUCCUUGGCUCUCAAUGCCAUCAUCAGUCUUUGCGCUCAGGGAGCGUGGCAUGCGCUUCGGGAGCCGUCCCUAGGGUCUUGAAUGCCCUUACUCAUCGGCACCGUGCCAAUCGGGUGCCUCUUUCCUUCCGCUCAGAGCUCUAAAGCGUGGAUCGGUGUCGGAAGGUUCCUGCUGGUUCUCUUUUGUGGCGCUCUUCCAGGCUGCUUUGGCAGCUCUGCUCUCUAGCGCUGUGUUGUCUUGGACUAGGCGUUCUUCCCAGCAUCUUGAUGUUCCUAGGUCUUGAUGACAGGCUUCUUGCGCAUCCAUCAUCUUGGUUUUGAGAGUACCUUCUUGUAAUGGGCCGUUACUUUUGCCUCUUGUUCUUUGGGGCUGUCAUAGAGCCUCCUCUCUUUGUGGUUUUGGAUGCUGUAGGUCAUCUUGCUGGAUGGCAACUCCCGUCCGGGAGUCAUUCUUCUUGCUGAGAGUUUUCUCUCUCUUUGAAUCACCUUGUUGGUAGCGUUCUGUGUUGUGUGUGUUUGUGCACGGGUGUGUUUGGCUUGGAGCUGCUCUGCCUGGGGAUGUAGAGUCAGGGGUAGGUGGAACAGCAAUAAGAGUCUGUGGGUGAAAUGUUGAUUUGACUUAAUUGUUUAGGCGAGGGUUGUACAGUAAUCUUGGCUCUAGUAGCGGUUGGUGGGCUUUGCGGACAGCCGUGCCGAUAGUGUUUUACGGAGAUAAUUGGAGCCAUGUGGCAUGGGCUGUUGAGGGGUAAUGAAGCAGAUCUGAGUCUCUAAGGCGUUAAGUCUUGCAUGUGAUGGGCUUAAAGUUUGGCCCUUUUUUUUUUUCCCUCUAAGAUGGCAGGCUGUAAUUGGACUCUAGAUGGUAUUCCUAGAUGGAAUCAAGACCUCUGGAAUUGUUAAGCUCUUGCUGUGCAUCUUGGUGACUUGUUCAAUACGGUUUUUUUUUCAGAUGCAGAGGGACAAGUGGCGUGCCACAGAGCGACGGAGGAGGGGAGCCGAGCAGCGUAAGAAGGUAUGAAGCAAGGAGCGAAGCGGGCCAUUGGUACUGGAGGUGACUCGGGCAAGGUGGAGCACGCAGCCUUGGAGGGGCGAAGUCGCAGGCUGAUGAGCAGUGUGAGAAGGCGCUGUGCGGGCCACCUUUGGAAUGGAAUGAGCGUUUGAGGUACCAUGAGAGAUGAUGGCUGCAGGGUCUGACUCUGGAAUGAGCGGAUGAUGAAGAGGAGCCUGGCGACUGCAGGAACAUCCUAAUGGUGACCCCGACGUGAUCGAGAGAGGACGACGACGUGAUUCCCCUUCACUGCGGAGACCAUGUAAUCUAAUGGGGAGAGUUUUGAAGAAGUGGCCACGACUCCGAGAAAAAUAGAUAACAGCAACUCCUGCGGAACGGGAACCAAGUGGAUUCCAGCUAAACACGUGAAGCCAUAUCAUGAGCUGACGAAACCACCUGGACAACCCUAUCCUGCAGAUGAAGACUCUGAAUUUGAAGGAGAAGAGACAAAUGAGGAGGAAGCAGCACAUUGAGAAUGAAAGAGCUAUCACAUAGGGACAUUUGAAGAGAAUGCAACAACAAGCUAGCGAGAUGAUGCAACGUGUAUCCUAUUCCAAAGAAUACCUUUUUUAGCAUACCUGGUAAUAGUGGCCAGCAACAGUAUUGUAAGAAUUCUGAUCCUUUUUCUUUGUGGAUGAGUUAAAAAAUGGGAUUUUGGUCCCUGGAUGAACACUGGGAGAGAGGUAUAUAGCCGAGGAAAACGCAGACUACUGGAUGAUGACAAUAUGCCGCACGUACAAAGCCCAUGAACCAACAGACAGGGUGGCUAUGGCUCAUGCAGCGUGCCUGGCCAGCAACCGCAUGCGUCAUAGGCUCCCUAUGUUACAAUCAAGGCGUCUUUUGGCACCC